rnacentral:lncRNA from 1 species
UAGAGCCAUGAUAAGUUAACAUUGCCUGUGCUGAUUGCUUUUAAAAUCCAUCUGAAGUAUGCUUAUAGAGCUUUCCAGUGUGGAAAAUGCUUAGGGUUUUAAAUUAGAAGGUUUAAAUUUAGAAUUUCCACAAAAGAUAACUGUUUCUUAGUGAGAGAUGUUUGUCUUUUUAUAUCAAAUGUAAUUGGAAAUAUACCUUAACUGUCAUGAUAGAGCCAUAUGUAAACAAAUUUGAAGCAUUGUUAAAGUAUCCUUUUAAAAGUGUUACAGAUAUUCCUUGUUUGCCCGGUGAAGUUAUGCUAAGUCUGCACGAUUAUGGUAGUCCUAUGCUAAUUAUAGGAUCCUCUGCCUCCUUCCGUAAUAUCUAUAGAGGGUCAGAAUUUAGAUCUUGGCAGAUUAGCAUUUAAGCCUAUUUGCUUUUUUGUUUGAACAUGUUCUGUUGGGUUGAUGUUAGCAUCUACAUAAAUACAGACUAAAACAUUAAAGUAUGGCUGUAUGCUGUAUAGAAUUCUAAGUCAUUGAUUAUUUGGGUUUUAUUUAUAUAGCUAGGCAGUAGUUUUCAUAGGAGAAAAUGGAAACUAUGUCUGAGAGGCACCUACAGCUAUUCCAUAGUGGGAAAGGACACACAGGAAAUUUGAUGCUCAUUGAAAGUAGGGGAGCAGUUGGUUCUGAUUGCUGAGCUCAUGAAUGUUAGUAACUGUGUACAACUGAAAAUAUCCUCAGUUAUUCUCUAGUGUGGGUCAGCCAAUUUGUCUUCAUGGGUCUAAUGUAUACCUAGAGCACCUACAUGUAACUUCAGAUCUUUAAGGUAGACUAUUCAGAGGACAAUGACAAAGCACUAUACCAGUUUCCAAAAGCUGCAUCUUUAUAGUCAGAUAAGCUUCAUGAAAAGUAGCACUGUUCUCUCUUCCUCUUAUACAGUGAAAGUGAGGCAGGUGACUUCCAGGGAUGUCGGUUCCAGUAGAGUUUAGAAAAUUAGUCUACAUAGCUUUGUGAAAUUGAACAUUUCUAAGGGCAAACAGUUGGUAGAGGCAAGCUAUACUGCAGGUGAAAAACUCUUCCCACGCAUUGAAGAUCUCUGAAAGAGUGUUUCUGGAAAGUUCACUCAAUGUUUAAUGCAGUCAGUUGUUGAUACUAUAGACAUAACAGUUAUUUCACAAACUAUAGAAGUUAUCUAAUUGACAUAUUAAUAAGUUGUUAUUAUUCUGAUUGCUUCUUGGUUUUAUGGUGUUUUCUGGGUUUGUUUUGUUUUUGUUUGGGUUUGACUUUCUCAGAUAGGGCCUCUCUGUGUUGCCCAGGCUAGCCUUGAACUUUCAAUGUGGGUCAGACUGACCUUGAACUUGAAAGAAUCCUCCCACCUCUCCCUGCCAAGUGCUGUAAUGCCUGGCAUUUAGCUACCUGCUCAGCUUGUUUUAGUUUUGUGAAGCCUCCCUAUAUGUCCCAGGCUAGCCUGGAAUUUGAGAUCCUUUCCUUUGGUUUCCAGAGCACUAAGAUUUCUGGCAUAUGCUAACAUGACCAAGCUCUCUAUUAGUAUGAAAGAAUAUAGAGCUAGGUAAGAUAUGGUCUUCACUCCUGAAGAAUUUCCAGCCUGACAAAUACAUGCAGACUAACAUUUAGGAAAGAGUUAAUAACAAAUAAAGGAUUUAGCUAGAACCCUCACACAGCCUUCUAUAAAAGGACUAUUCUAUAGGAGCCAUCAAUAACAAGGCUUUGUGUGUGUUUCUCACUGCUGUGAACCAACAUUUUAAACAAAGGUUUUUGUGGGUUCAAAAUGGUAUAUGUUAGCUCUGCAUGAUGCUGUGUACCUGUAAUGCCAGCAUUUCAGAUGCUAAGGCAGGAACAUUUAGAGUGCAAGUAUGAGCUUCCUAUCAAGGUAUUAUAUUU